CGGCAACAGCUCAAAUUUGAAAUCUGGCUCUUUCAGAGUCCGAGUUGUAAUUUGUAGAGGAUGUCUCGGAGUUGGCUCCAGUCUAAGUCCCUUGGAACAGGGCGUCACAGAGGGUGAGAAUCCCGUACGUGGCCGGGGACCUUCUCCAUGUGAGACUCCUUC
rnacentral:rRNA from 1 species